UACGGAGGAUCCAAGCGUUAUCCGGAAUUACUGGGCGUAAAGAGUUGCGUAGGCGGCAUGGUAAGUUGGUAGUGAAAGCGUUCGGCUCAACCGGAUACACAUUACCAAAACUGCCAAGCUAGAGGAUGAGAGAGGUUAUUGGAAUUCCCUGUGUAGGAGUGAAAUCCGUAGAUAUAGGGAGGAACACCGAUGGCGUAGGCAGAUAACUGGCUCAUUCCUGACGCUAAGGCACGAAAGCGUGGGGAGCAAACGGG
rnacentral:rRNA from 1 species